rnacentral:lncRNA from 1 species
GAGGAUACGCCUAUCACUGUUUAAAUGAUAAUCAUAGUUAUUUGUUUUUAAAUUUUGAUUUAUCUAAGGUUUCUCUUUUUGUAUAGUUCAUGUUUGUAGUACAUAAUGUUUGCAUUCCUUGUGAAGAAUUUCUAAGAUUUCUUAAUCAAAUCUAAUCAUUUUCUUUAUGAUUUCUUUUAUUAUAAUUUUGCUUUUUCAGAGAGUAGAUACUAAUUCAUCUGUAUCAUCCCCUAAGCAUUAAUUCCAUGCUUAUCUAUUAGUAAUUGUUUUUUGACAGACCAAAGCAUGUCCUCCUCAUCUCUUCUUUUGGCAGAUCUGGGUUUUAUUCUUCCAUUUCCCAGAUUAUUUAAUCAAAUAUUCUUGGAAAAACAGGAGGGAGGGGAAGGAGGAAAGGAAAAAAGAAAGGAGGGAGGAAGAAGGGCAAGAUGAGAAGAAAGGUAGGAGUCUGACUAAAAGCAAAUUGCAGACUAGAAUAGAGACUCCCCAGGAAAAUAUUAAGUUUAAACCUUGGAGAACAAAGGUUAGUUUUCCUAACCUGCUUUUAUGGGUCAUUUGGAGCUGAAAUAGUUGCUGUUGCCAAGAAGUUCAAAGCCAAGUUUGAAAUUUGAUCACAGCAAUGUGGUCAACCUUUAUUGAUGGAUAUUUGUUAUCUUUGGUCUUGAUUUUCCCUUUAUAUUAUGUUUUCCUGGCUCAUUAUAUGUGUCUUUUGUUGCAAACUAUCUCAAAUCCUAUAUGGGAAGAGCUAAAGUGGAUUCAAAGUUCUGAAGAAUGAAUGACUUCUAAAGAAUAAGUCUUCCUUGGGGAGUGAAAUAGUUUGCAGUUUGUUGUAGUCCCACUAAACCUCCUUUGUUGAUCUUGAAAUAUUUCAUCAUACAGAAGUGCAUGUAGAAUAGUAUCUCAAAUAAAUACCCUGCAAGCACCACCAAGCAUAACACAUCUUAAUAUUUUCCACAUUUGUUUCAGAUUUUAAAAAUAACACAUUGGAAAUAGAGAUGGAGCCUCUGUGUACCCUCUUCCCCUCCCAAAAGAUGAUUCCAAGCUUCAGCCCACCAGCUAGCUCCCUGCAUCACAGCCUAAGAUGUACACAACUCCAAGCCAUGCCUCGCCACCAAGGAUCUUCUUUGGCCACACUCAGUCCCUGCUCCGUAGAGAAGGGAAGUCGCACAGCUGCAGGAUAUAGGAGGC